GGUGUGCGUGCACGCUACUUGUGGUUGCACCACGCCCCUGCAGUGAAUGUUGCAUCUUAAAGCAUCACUCCGGUUGUGGCGAUCGCCAGGGUGUGUGCAGGCUGCUGGCUGGGAGCACCUAGUUAACCUGCAAUGAGAUUUCCAGCUGGGGUGAUGGGUAGGCUGCAUGGGCACAGGGGGCUGAUUUAGCCACCUCCAGGGAUCCUCCCUCCACCCUCUCUCUGGCCGUGCCUGUCCCUGGAAGAGGCUCUCUGAGUACCCUCUGUUGCCCAGCCUGUGAAAUCACCAAUGCCUGGAGUCUGGUGGUCUCUUUUGUCUUCUCCUUGUCUGAGGAUCAUGGCAGGCAUGCCGGCUCAUCAGAUGCGUCCCUUUUGUGUGUUUCCUAGCUGGUUUUAGGAGCUCAGCCGUCUCUUCUGCCUCCACACAGCUUGACUGCUCUGGCUUUAGAGUCUUGGGAUUUUGCUGUUAGUGUCAGAAGUGGGCGUAAUUAUUUCUUCCUGAUGAUCUUCCUUUUUCUAGGGAGACAGGUGGGACCCCUGGGGCUUGCUGGGCCAGUCAGCCUAGCCUAAUCAGGGAGUUCCGGGGCUUGAAGAGACGACGUCUCAAACACCAAGGGCAGUGCCUGAGGAAUGGCGUCCAAAGGUUGUCUUCUAGCCUCCACAUGUAUGUGUGAAUAAAUGCGUGUCCACGCACAGGAACACCCACACAUGUAUACAUGCAUAAAUGCUAAAAAAAAAUUGAAAAAGAUAAUUACACAUUUAACUGUGGAUUUGCGGAGCGGGGCUCUCUUCUCCUCGGCUGAGAAAGCACAAAGCGUCUGUUUCUCCCCUUGUUGUUCUGUGGCUGAGGGCUUGGCAGGUUGAGAUGCUCUGUGACGAGAAGCGAUUUCAUAGCCUGUCAUGUACGAUGCACAGAAAAGGAGACCUGAUUGCCAUGAGUCUCUAAGGGCCUCAAGAGCCAGAUCUGGGGCCAGAGGUUUCACGGCCUUAGAAUCUGAAAGCAAAUCAGGCUUUCAGAGAAAAGAGGACUCGCAAGCAAGCCUGUCGAGAGCUUCCUGGGACCCACGGCAGCAAAUGCCGCCAUUUGGCGUUGAUCAUUCCUUGACCAGAUGCUGAUUCCCCAGGGGGUUCCACUGCAUCUGCUUUCCUGAGCUCUGGAUCAACAGUACCGGGAAGGCUUGCUCCAGAAGGUUCAAGCCCAUUCUCUGGUUUCCUCUGCCAUUCAUUCCAUCAUCAGAACAUAGUGACAGGCCACGCCCUGCCCCCCACUCCAGGUUCACUUUUUUGGUUACCAGCUGGAAUUGGCCAACCGGAGAUAACUGGAAUUGGCCGACUGAAGAUGGCUUUAUACAUUCAGCUUUUAAACACAACACUUACGACUCCCUGAGUCACCCAGCCUGGAACAUUUUAACCUCUAGAAGUAUAUCACACAACCCACAUCUUCCUCUGGAGGCUGAGGCAGUCAGUUCAGGCAUCCCAACGCUCAGCGUCUUCUCGUUCUGGCUUUCGGAGGGAAGAAAAUACCCAAACAAAAAGAACUGUUUUAGGCAUUUGACCAAAAUAUUACUCUAGACAAAAGAAUCUGAGUUUGUCAUCACUGGAGACAGUCUUUAAACUAUAAUAAAUGAACUGCCAUUGCCUGCUGUUUCUUGAUAGCAUGGACCACAAAAAAAGAUGAAAUAGAAGCAAAAACAAAACAAAAAAAAAGGACUAAUCCAUUUGAGUCCAAAUAAUGAAAAGUGUCUACUUUCACACAAUGUCAUUUUCUCAUUGUUAAAGGCUUGAGAUAAAUUAAGUGGAAAAUUCUAGAGACAAUUCCUAAGGUUUAAAGUGCAUGCAAUUCUGAGCGUCAUGAAUCACAUGCCAACCUAGGGGAGAAAGGGCUUGUUAAUCUUACAAUUCCAGGCUACAGUCUGUCAUUUCAGGAAAGUCAAGGCAGCCUGCCGAGGGCAGAAAGAGUAUGGAUGCAUGUGUGCCCACUGCUCGGCUCCCUUUCCCACCGCUGACAUGAUUCAGGACCCAUAAAGGGAACGGUGAUACCCACAUUCAGCAUGGGUCACCCCAGCUCAAUGAUCCCACUUAAAGGAAGUCCCUCACAGGUAUGCCCAGAGACUGACCUCAUCUAGUAAUUCCUCACCGAGACUCUUGGAAGGUGAUUGCACAUUGUGUCAAGUUGACAACUAAACUACGGACCUUGAGGGACUUGUGGGAAGGUGUCUCUGACACGCACGUAAUACGACUGACCGAGAAAGCUCCAGUCAGUGGGAAGUUGUGGUUGGCUCUGGUGAUUUAUGCUAAACAGAAUAAACUGUGAUGGAAACAUAAAAUACUUUUAAGCUUACGCUCCUCUUACUCAAUAC